rnacentral:rRNA from 1 species
UACAGAGGAUGCAAGCGUUAUCCGGAAUGAUUGGGCGUAAAGCGUCUGUAGGUGGCUUUUAAGUCCACCGUCAAAUCCCAGGGCUCAACUCUGGACAGGCGGUGGAAACUACCAAGCUGGAGUACGGUAGGGGCAGAGGGAAUUUCCGGGUGGAGCGGUGGAAAUGCGUAGAGAUCGGAAGGAACGCCGGUGGCGAAGCGACGUGCUGGACCCUUUCUGAC